rnacentral:rRNA from 1 species
GAUGAACGCUGGCGGCGUGCCUAAUACAUGCAAGUCGAGCGAACGGACGAGAAGCUUGCUUUUCUGAUGUUAGCGGCGGACGGGUGAGUAACACGUGGAUAACCUACCCAUAAGACUGGGAUAACUUCGGGAAACCGGAGCUAAUACCGGAUAAUAUUUUGAACCGCAUAGUUCAAAAGUGAAAGACGGUCUUGCUGUCACUUAUAGAUGGAUCCGCGCUGCAUUAGCUAGUUGGUAAGGUAACGGCUUACCAAGGCAACGAUGCAUAGCCGACCUGAGAGGGUGAUCGGCCACACUGGAACUGAGACACGGUCCAGACUCCUACGGGAGGCAGCAGUAGGGAAUCUUCCGCAAUGGGCGAAAGCCUGACGGAGCAACGCCGCGUGAGUGAUGAAGGUCUUCGGAUCGUAAAACUCUGUUAUUAGGGAAGAACAUAUGUGUAAGUAACUGUGCACAUCUUGACGGUACCUAAUCAGAAAGCCACGGCUAACUACGUG